UACAGAGGUGGCAAGCGUUGUUCGGAAUUACUGGGCGUAAAGGGCGCGUAGGCGGCCUUCUAAGUCAGACGUGAAAUCCCCCGGCUUAACCUGGGAACUGCGUCUGAUACUGGAAGGCUUGAGUGCGGGAGAGGGAUGUGGAAUUCCAGGUGUAGCGGUGAAAUGCGUAGAUAUCUGGAGGAACACCGGUGGCGAAGGCGGCGUUCUGGACUGUUUCUGACACUGAAAAACGAAAGCCAGGGGAGCAAACGGG
rnacentral:rRNA from 1 species